rnacentral:tRNA from 9 species
GGCCGGGUAGCUCAGUUGGUAGAGCAGCGGACUGAAAAUCCGCGUGUCGUUGGUUCGAUUCCGACCCCGGCCACCA